rnacentral:rRNA from 1 species
CAGUGAUCACUUUAACGGCCGCGGUACCCUGACCGUGCAAAGGUAGCAUAAUCAUUUGCCUUUUAAUUGGAGGCUAGUAUGAAUGGUCUGACGAGAGUAAAACUGUCUCAUAUAUAUUCAAUAAAAAUUAACUUAAAGGUGCAAAGGCCUUUAUCCAUCAAAAAGACGAGAAGACCCUGUUGAGCUUUAAUCUUAAUAAACAUUCUUUAUAUAUUUAUAUAUUUACCUUGUUUACUAAAGAUUUUAAUUGGGGCGAUUAAGGAACAACCACCAGCUUCCUGAUUAUAAAUUAAACCGAUCCAGCAAUGUUGAUCAACAAAAUGAGUUACCACAGGGAUAACAGCAUAAUUCUUCUUGAGAGUCCCUAUCGAAAGAAGAGAUUGUGACCUCGAUGUUGGACUAGGGUGACCAGAAGGUGUAGCCGCUUUCUCGUUUGGUCUGUUCGACCAGUAAUUCCCU